rnacentral:lncRNA from 1 species
UAGCUGGCAAAUCGCGGCCGCCGUCUCAGCCGCGCGUCGUUGCCAUCCGCGCCCACCCUCGCUUGCUGCCCCACCCCCACUCCACCACCUGCCUCCACUCCCGCACGCAGCCGGAGUCGGCACGCAGGAUAUCCAGCGCGAGCUUGUCCUCCGCUACGAGCUUGUCGACGACGGCCAUGUCCAGCGCGAGCUCGUCCGGGAUAGGUGGCCCGACUGCGGUCAGACUGUGAGGCGAUUCUUCUCGCAGACCCCGGCGCAUACGAACAUCUUCUUCUACAAAUGCAUGAACCAUAAUGUGAGUGAUUUCUGGCAUCUUCUGCAAAUGCAUUUGUGUUGUUGUCUGAAUUUGUUCAUGGUUUUAUAUGCUUUUUUGAACAGCCAAAGAAAGGUGGUUGUGAUUUCUGGCAUUGGGAGCUCUCAUAUGUUCUGCAUUUGGUGAAAUAUGGUCAUUUGGGAAGGCAUGAGCAUCAAGCAGGGCAGGGGCAUGGCCAACUCGCUGGGCAAGGGCAUGGCCAACAACCUGGACAUCUUCUGGUGCAAGAGGAAGGGAUUAAAGAGAUGAGAAGAUCAGUAGUUGCAGUAGGAAAUGAGGUUGUGGUUGUCUUGAAGAUGAUAGUUGCUUUACUAUUUGCACUUGUUGUGUUGUGUGGAGUUGCAGUGUUAAAAAUGUGAUCUUUGUGUGUUGGGGAAUAGGGAUGUAUCAAAUAAGAGUAUGAUGAAUGAAUUUAACAAGAUUGUUAUUUUUGUGUGAUGAAUGAAUUUUACAAUUUGUCAAGUGAUGAAUGAAUAUCGAUGCCUUCGAGCAAAGUCGUGCCCAGAAUAUGGAUGUACCAAAUAAUGCAAUUUAUCCCAAACAAACUUUUGUCUCGACUCCCUUCGAGCAUCACUAGCAUAGUCAGAUUCAACUUGCUUCAUUACAUAUCAAGAUUCAAUACAGAAGCAUUACAAAGUUGACAUCCAUACUCCACUUGGUAAGAGUAGAAUGAAGUUCAACUAAAUGCUCCAUCUGAGCAACAAAAUUAAGAUCACCAGUAGUUUGAUGAGCAACAAAAUAAAGAUCAUAGUUUUUAAGAUCACUACACUUAAUGAACUAAAGACUAGAGGAUGAACAUUCAUCUGAAUUCAUCAAACAUGUUGACCUUGUGUUUUUUUGCUCUGUUGGACAAUAGUAGAAGCACCCCUCUUUGCUUGUGCAGCAGCCUUCUUCUCCUCUGCUUCCCUAAGCUUUGCUUGUAGAUGAGCUUCUCUCCUGGCAAUUGCAACUUUCUUCUUUUCUUCUAUCUCUGCUGCCAUUUUCUGUGCUUUCUUUGCCUUCUCUUCUUCUCUCUUUGCUAGUGCUUCUGCUCUCUUCUUUGCCUUCUCUUCUUCUUUCUUUGCUAGCGCUUCUGCUUUCUUCUUUGCCUUCUCUUCUUCUUUCUUUGCCUUCUCUGCUUCUCUUCUAGCAAGCACAUCAGCAGCUUGCUUCUCAUGGGACUCAUACCUUUGCUCUUGUGUUGCAUCUCUCUGUGCAGCAAAGACCUUUUCUUUUGCAAUUCUCAUAGCUGCAGCCUUCGUAGCAAGGUAUCCUGCUGUUGUUGAGGUGCUUGUUGUCCCUGUGCCAAGGGCUUCUCUAGCAGCAGUAAUAAAAGAACAGUCUGGCAAAGGCCUAGGAGUAGUAGUUGUCUUUGGCAUAGGUCUCUG